rnacentral:snRNA from 14 species
AUGCUCGAUUUGGCAGCAGAUAUCUAAAAUUGACAAUACAGAGAAGAUUAGCAUUGCUCCCAAAUGAGGAUGACCCCAAAUCCAUGAGUUGUUCCAUAUUAAA